rnacentral:lncRNA from 1 species
CUCUCUCCAACCCAACGAUUUCGGAAACUCUCCCUCUCUCACUUCACUUCACACAGUUACAGAGAGAUUCCACCGCCACAGAUCGGAAAUGUCUCCGCCGGAAUCACAGCGCAAUCCAAUUCCCUUCCUCCAUGAACAAUCCUGAUACCUCUUAUCACUACUACUCCAUUUCGUCCGUUCCGUUGCUUCGCUCUCUGAUUCUCCUCUCUCCGUUAAUAGUAACGGACUCCUAACUCCUUCCAUUACAAUAAUUUUCGCCAUCGCUAGGUUUUUCUCAUUUCACUUCAAUGAUUCAACUCCAUCUAACUCCGAAAACGCAAUU